CCAGCGGCUUGGGUUCGGA
rnacentral:miRNA from 1 species